GUUGUGAAGAGAAUGCAAGGGCUGCUGGUUCUGAUGAGUUAUCUUAAGAUCAGUCUUUAGACAGGUGGAUCAAUACACUUAAAAUGCAUCUUAAGAUCAGUCUUGAGACAGGUGGAUCAAUACACUUAAAAUGCAUCUUAAGAUCACUCGUAAAACAGGUGGAUCAAUUCACUUAAAAUGCAUCUUAAGAUCAGUCUUGAGACAGGUGGAUCAAUACACUUUAAAUGCAUCUUAAGAUCAGUCGUAAAACAGGUGGAUCAAUUCACUUAAAAUGCAUCUUAAGAUAAGUCUUGAGACAGGUGGAUCAAUUCACUUAAAAUGCAUCUUAAGAUAAGUCUUGAGACAGGUGGAUCAAUACACUUAAAAUGCAUCUUAAGAUCAGUCUUGAGACAAGUGGAUCAAUUCACUUAAAAUGCAUCUUAAGAUAAGUCUUGAGACAAGUGGAUCAAUACACUUAAAAUACAUCUUAAGAUUAGUCGUAAAACAGGUGGAUCAAUUCACUUAAAAUGCAUCUUAAGAUAAGUCUUGAGACAGGUGGAUCAAUACUCUUAAAAUACAUCUUAAGAUCAGUCUUUAUACAGGUGGAUAAAUACACUUAAAAUUUUAACAUCUUAAGAUCAAUUGUAAAACAUGUUGAUCAAUACACUAAAAAUGCAUAAUCGUCUUUUUAAAACAUUUAAAAUCAUCUUCUAACAUGACCUACACUCCAGGAGUGAAAUAACGUACUGCUCAAUUUUGUUUAUUACACGGGUGUUAUUACACUAGUUAUAUAACUGUGAAAUGACGUCAUUUACAAUGUUAAUAAACGGUGAAAAGAGCUCAGCAUUAAAUAAAAAGAAAAUGUGUUGGUCAUGUUAUAAAUAGAAUCUUAGAUUGUUGUCAUUUUGUAUUGAAUUUAUUAAACUCGUCAUCUAAAUAAAGAUAAAAACUCGGCUUAUUUAGAUGACUCUUUUAAUAAAGUCAAUACAAAACGACAACUCAUGCAAGAUAUAUAUGUAAAAAAUAAUGCUGUAAACUUAGCUAGAUUAUUGAACUGUGUUAGCUAGCAUAAACUUUCAAAGGAGGAUCGAUUUAAUGUUGUUUUUUUAUUUACAUAGAUUAGAUAAUGGCCUAAUAAUAAGUAAAUAGGUUUUUGUAACUUCUUUGAAUGCCAAAAAGUGCUAUCCCCAUUCACUGCAGAUUGGCAAAGGGUCUUGUUUGUUUUUUAAAGCUACCCUGCAGUGCAUCCUAAAUCUCUGAAUAAAGAAUGAUUCACAUCAACCAUGAGCACUUAAAAUAAUUGUUAACUAUGCAUAGAGCAGUACAGCAACUAUUGUUAAGUAUGCAAGUAAAAGGAUAGCACCUAUGUAUGUGAUAUGUCAUCAGAGUAAAAUCCUAUUGGAUUACACACCCAUAGUUGGCCAUAAAACAUGUGUUUGUUUAAACCCUUUACCUCAUAGAAACAACCCGAGAUGCAUUAGAAAAUCAAAUUAUAUUGAAGAACUUUAUUACUAAAGUCAAGUUUUAAAGGCUCCAUUUUCAACCCUUGGUACUGAUGUGCAGCAAACAGCAUAAAAGUUGAACAGACUGCGAGUUACUUGCAGGCAGUAUUGGUUUUAAUCUGUUUGCCAUUUUCACGUUGCUUCUGAGUGGGAAAGGGUUAAGUAACAUGGUUGAGAGAAAUUCUGGAAAUAUUAUUUAGCCCACCUGAGUUUUGUUACGGGUCUGUUUGCAAGAAAUCUGUGCAGGUGAAAAGAGACCAUUUGAAUAAAUGUUGUUUAGUA